UAAAAAUCACGACGUUUCGGAGGCAACACAAGCUUCCGUCUUCAGGUGGAACCGUCACAGCACGAUUGCUGCAUCAAGUAAGAGAAAUUGCUGCAUCAAUGGUUACGUCCAGACAUGGGGGUUACUUAUAUUUGUGAUUGCGUCAUUGAUAAGAAAUUGCCAGCACAGUGUUAUCGUCAUUUGGGCUACCAUUGCCGCUGUGCCCGCAAUUACAACUGUGACAACCCAGGCGUGGCUUUUGUCCAAGGUGUUUAAGUCCAAGCCGUCUCGCACUCCGCUGGCCGAUUGGAACAACGCGAGCCAAUGUCGUGUGGUCGUCACCCGUGCGUGCGUGCACAUGCUGUCUAGUAGCACUGCAGCUGAAUUGUAAAACAAAAAAACGAGGGUUGCCGCGAUAUGGAGAAUCGACUAUCUGUCACGCAAUGUAAGAUCCACGAUAAUCGUAUCAGUGUGGCUUGCAAAAUACCGUCACGUGAUUAUCCUCGCUAAUUUUUAUUGUUCGCAAUGCUUUAUUUCCUGACGAAAUAUGCAAACUUUUUAAAGGUCUAAAAAAUAAAUCGUCGCUCUUUCCCCGUUCAAUUGGUGCCAAUUGGUGCCGGAGUAAUUGACAGCAUGUCGGUCAUGUGGCAUCAACUCUAAAUGACUGCGGGCGGGGGGAGAUUUUAGGCAGCAGCAAGGCUUACGUUGAGCUAACUGCAGUCGAAAUAACUCUUGAGCAAUCUUUACUCGUACUUGAAACACACCGGGGCACGAUAAAAAGACGGUGACAAUCUGAAAUGGAAUUACAAACUCGAGGGAAUAUCUGCUCGUCGCGACGAUCGGCAGAUCGUAGGAACGGGCGUCGUUCUCGUGGAAAAAGAUAUCGCGGCAAAAACCCUCCUGCAAACCGAACACUGCAUGCACUGUUACGCGUCGGGCAACGGUGUCACGGCGCUGCAGGGACGCGCCCUGGGGGCCAAGUGACAAUGCGUUCGGCUCAUCGAUCGAUCGAAAUCGAAAUGCGACGUUCGCGGAAAACGCGUCGAAGCCGCUCGCGCGACAAUCGAUUAUCCGCGACAAGCGACGACGUGGCCCGCGUUUUAUUACGCUUACGGUAACAGGGGGAGCGAACAAAACUACAAAACGAAUCGAACAACGCAGAGGCGAAUGUUAAAACUUGACUGCGGGAAAAACGUGCGGUGGGUUUUCUGGGUGUUGCCCCCCCCCCGCGCGUUGUUCGACUUCGCAUCCCGAUGUUUCGCUGCAACGUCGCUUGGGGAGCCUCUUCACAUCCGGAGACCUGCUCUCGGCACAAGCGCGAAAAACCUCGACGGCACCUGCAGAAAAUAAUUGGUUCGUUCAAUCGAAAAUUCCGCCGCUCGCGAAUAUCUUUGACAAUUCCGUCGAAUCGCCGGGCACGGAUCCAACCGUUUUACGUGUCUAGGCUUUACAGCGAAAUGAUCGCUGGGUUCUCAAAUCGAAGAGGACUUUGCGAGCUUCUCUCCGCACCACCCCCCCUCUCCUCCCUGGGCUUUCUCCUUCAUCAACUCCCGUCGGUUUACUGCCGCCAAAAUAAACGAGCGCUGUAAAGCGCGCGCACCGGUUUGAUAGCGCUGAACGUCGCGAGCAAAGGCGUUGAUUAAUCGAGGGGGUGGUCUAAGGUUUUGCAUGGUGUGUUUUUUAUUAAAUCUGUGAUCGGUGAUGAAGCCCCCCCCCUUCCCCGCGAGGCGGAGCGUGAUAUGAGACUUGUGCGAAGGGGUCGAAUCUGCGGAGCUUAAAUUGAGUGGUGGCGGGGUCGCUCCCUCGGGGUUGAGUGUUUUGUCUUCGGCUCAAAAUGUGAACAAUUUAAAAGAUUUGCUAAAGAUGGUGAUACAAGUC